GCCUAUUUGGCUCAGAGAUUAGAGCAUCGGCCUACAGACUGAAAGGUCUUGGGUUCGAUUCCAAUAAAGGGCA
rnacentral:tRNA from 1 species